rnacentral:rRNA from 1 species
AUUGAACGCUGGCGGCAUGCUUUACACAUGCAAGUCGAACGGCAGCGCGGGCUUCGGCCUGGCGGCGAGUGGCGAACGGGUGAGUAAUACAUCGGAACGUGCCCAGUAGAGGGGGAUAGCUCGGCGAAAGCCGGAUUAAUACCGCAUACGACCAGAGGGUGAAAGCGGGGGAUCUUCGGACCUCGCGCUAUUGGAGCGGCCGAUGGCAGAUUAGCUAGUUGGUGGGGUAAAGGCCUACCAAGGCGACGAUCUGUAGCUGGUCUGAGAGGACGACCAGCCACACUGGGACUGAGACACGGCCCAGACUCCUACGGGAGGCAGCAGUGGGGAAUUUUGGACAAUGGGCGAAAGCCUGAUCCAGCAAUGCCGCGUGUGUGAUGAAGGCCUUCGGGUUGUAAAGCACUUUUGGCGGGAACGAAAAGGACUGUGCCAAUACCACGGUUCGAUGACGGUACCCGCAGAAUAAGCACCGGCUAACUACGUG